CAGCAGUCGCCGCGGGAAUACGUAGGGUGCAAGCGUUAAUCGGAAUUACUGGGCGUAAAGCGUGCGCAGGCGGUUAUAUAAGACAGAUGUGAAAUCCCCGGGCUCAACCUGGGAACUGCAUUUGUGACUGUAUAGCUAGAGUACGGCAGAGGGGGAUGGAAUUCCGCGUGUAGCAGUGAAAUGCGUAGAUAUGCGGAGGAACACCGAUGGCGAAGGCAAUCCCCUGGGCCUGUACUGACGCUCAUGCACGAAAGCGUGGGGAGCAAACAGGAUUAGAUACCCCUGUAGUCCCUGUCUCUUAUAU
rnacentral:rRNA from 1 species